GACGAACGCUGGCGGCGUGCUUAACACAUGCAAGUCGAACGAAGUGGCGAACGGGUGAGUAACGCGUAAUCAACCUGCCCUUCAGAGGGGGACAACAGUUGGAAACGACUGCUAAUACCGCAUACUGAAGGAGGGGAUUGCGUCGGAUUAGCUAGUUGGAGGGGUAACGGCCCACCAAGGCGAUGAUCAGUAGCCGGGCUGGGGGGGUGAACGGCCACAAUGGGACUUGGACACGGCCCAGACGCCUACGGGGGGCAGCAGUGGGGAAUUUUCCGAAAUGGAGGAAAGUCUGACGGAGCAACGCCGCGGGAGUGAUGACGGCCUUCGGGUUGUAAAGCUCUGUUAAGCGGGACGCGGUACCGGAAUAGAAAGCCACGGCUAACUCCGUGCCAGCAGCCGCGGUAAUUC
rnacentral:rRNA from 1 species